AAUGAAACGUUAAAGAAGGAUUAGUAAAAUAUAAGGUGCCUAUUACAGAGAGGGAAUUAUACAGCUGAAAUAUUCCUGAGGAACCCAUUUGAACCUGCCUUCUGAGUUCUGCUUCGGGCCUUAUGGCGAAGAGGCAGCGGUUAAAUCCGUUAUCCUUCUUAAGAGCAUGAAACACUGCGGUGUUUUUUGAAUAAGGGUGGUACCGCCAAAGCCUUGGUCCCUUUC
rnacentral:ncRNA from 1 species